UACGAAGGGGGGCUAGCGUUGCUCGGAAUCACUGGGCGUAAAGGGUGCGUAGGCGGGUUCUUAAGUCAGAGGUGAAAUCCUGGAGCUCAACUCCAGAACUGCCUUUGAUACUGAGAGUCUUGAGUUCGGGAGAGGUGAGUGGAACUGCGAGUGUAGAGGUGAAAUUCGUAGAUAUUCGCAAGAACACCAGUGGCGAAGGCGGCUCACUGGCCCGAUACUGACGCUGAUGCACGAAAGCGUGGGGAGCAAACAGG
rnacentral:rRNA from 1 species